CUGAGUGCAGGAGUCUCGGAGUUGGCAUGGCCGAGGAGCCUUUGGGAGGGCUUUUUCUGGAGAAAGCAGCCGCCUUGGCUAAGGGAUACAUUUAGACCUCUCAAUGCCACAUACAAGCAAAACAUGGCACAGACGCUACAUGACAAGGAUUGUCUAAUGAGGAUGAGAUUUUCUAUAAGAAUAAAGGGUGCGCCUCACUGCCAUAAGGGGCUCCAUGGCACAGAUCCAAAUAGUGUGUGGUGUACGUUGACCACAGAUGGAGAAGAGGGGAAGAUGGUGAGGAAGAGGAGGGGAGGACGAGGAAGAGGCUGACUCAGCCAGUGACUGCAGGGAAAGCAGCUUCAGGAGGCACAGCGCCUACAGGUCAGCUAUUUUUCCAGGAAGCAGUAUGGCCAUGGGAGGAAGACUCUCAGAUUUCAGCUUUGAAGAGGAGCUCAGAUUGCCAGACUGGACUAGC